rnacentral:tRNA from 1 species
CCACAGGUAGCUCAGAUGGUAAAGCGUCUGCCUGCAAUGCGGGAGACCUGGGUUCGAUCCCCAGGUUGGGAA